UCGAGCGGCAGCGCGGGGGCAACCCUGGCGGCGAGCGGCGAACGGGUGAGUAAUGCAUCGGAACGUGUCCUCUUGUGGGGGAUAACCAGUCGAAAGAUUGGCUAAUACCGCAUGAGAUCGAGAGAUGAAAGCAGGGGACCGCAAGGCCUUGCGCGAGAGGAGCGGCCGAUGCCGGAUUAGCUAGUUGGUGGGGUAAAAGCCUACCAAGGCGACGAUCCGUAGCUGGUCUGAGAGGACGACCAGCCACACUGGGACUGAGACACGGCCCAGACUCCUACGGGAGGCAGCAGUGGGGAAUUUUGGACAAUGGGGGCAACCCUGAUCCAGCCAUGCCGCGUGUGUGAAGAAGGCCUUCGGGUUGUAAAGCACUUUCGGACGGGACGAAAUCGCGCGAUCUAAUAAGUCGCGUGGAUGACGGUACCGUAAGAAGAAGCACCGGCUAACUACGUGCCAGCAGCCGCGGUAAUACGUAGGGUGCGAGCGUUA
rnacentral:rRNA from 1 species